CGCGGGGUGGAGCAGUUGGCAGCUCGUUGGGCUCAUAACCCAAAGGUCGGAGGUUCGAGUCCUCCCCCCGCAACCA
rnacentral:tRNA from 9 species